rnacentral:tRNA from 1 species
GCAGUGGCGGUUCAGGUGUAGAGUCCUGGCCUUCCAUGCAGGACACCUGGGUUCGAUUCCCGGCCAGUGCA